GAUGAACGCUGGCGGCGUGCCUAAUCCAUGCAAGUCGAGCGAAGCGGGGACGGGUGAGUAACACGUGGAUAACCUCCUAUAAGACUGGGAUAACUUCGGGAAACCGGAGCUAAACCGGAUCCUUAUACAUGGAACCACGUGUCAUUCGCUAGUUGGUAAGUUAACGGCUUACAAAGGCAACGAUGCAUAGCCGACCUGACAGGGUGAUCGGCCACACUGGAACUGAGACACGGUCCAGACUCCUACGGGAGGCAGCAGUAGGGAAUCUUCCGCAAUGGGCGAAAGCCUGACGGAGCAACGCCGCGUGAGUGAUGAAGGUCUUCGGAUCGUAAAACUCUGUGAGUAGGGAAGCGGUACCUAAUCAGAAAGCCACGGCUAACUACGUGCCAGCAGCCGCGGUAAUAC
rnacentral:rRNA from 1 species